rnacentral:rRNA from 1 species
UACGAAGGGGGCUAGCGUUGCUCGGAAUUACUGGGCGUAAAGGGCGCGUAGGCGGAUGUUUAAGUUGGGGGUGAAAGCCCGGGGCUCAACCUCGGAAUUGCCUUCAAUACUGGACAUCUUGAGUACGGGAGAGGUGAGUGGAACUCCGAGUGUAGAGGUGAAAUUCGUAGAUAUUCGGCGGAACACCAGUGGCGAAGGCGACUCACUGGCCCGAUACUGACGCUGAGGCGCGAAAGCGUGGGGAGCAAACAGG